rnacentral:misc_RNA from 1 species
CGCACCUUGCGCCCCUUGGCAUUCCGAGGGGCACGCCUGUUUGAGUGUCGUGAACUCCUCCACCCUCUACCUUUUUCGAAGGGCAUUGGGCUGGGAUUUGGGAGCUUGCAGGUCCCUGGUUGAUCUGCUCUCCUUGAAUGCAUUAGCGAAGCCCUUUGCGGCCUUGGUGUGAUAAUUAUCUGCGCCUUGGUUUAGCAAACCUAUAGGGACUUGCUUCCAACCGUCCUGCAUGGGACAAUCACUACCAACUUGACCUCAAAUCAGGCGGGACUACCCGCUGAACUUAA